rnacentral:tRNA from 1 species
GCCGCUGAGCAGGCCUAAUGCAUGAGACGCAUUGGGCCUCCGGAGCCAUAUGCGCAGGUUCGAAUCCUGCCGGGGCA